GCCCUAACAGCUAGCCCACCCAACUUAAAACAACAAUCAACAUUAAUAAACCCUAAAACACAAGCACCUAUUAAACAAAACAUUUUUCCACCUUAGUAUGGGAGACAGAAAAGGUCCUAGGCGCUAUAGAAACAGUACCGCAAGGGAAAGCUGAAAGAGAGAUGAAAAAGUCCAUUAAAGGCACAAAAAGCAGAGAUUAGUACUCGUACCUUUUGCAUCAUGACUUAGCCAGCACCCCUUAAGCAAAGCGUCCUUUAGUUUAAGCCCCCGAAACUGCGCGAGCUACUCCAAGACAGCCUAUUAUAGGGCACACCCGUCUCUGUGGCAAAAGAGUGGGAAGAACUUUGAGUAGAGGUGAUAGACCUACCGAGCCCAGUUAUAGCUGGUUGCCUAAGAAAUGAAUAGAAGUUCAUCCUUUUAAUUUCUUUUACCCCAAGAGGCAAGACCACUUAAGGCCAAAAGAAUAUCAAAAGAGCUAUUCAAGGGGGGGACAGCCCCCUUGAAAGAAGACACAACUUUAAUAGAAGGUUAAAGAUCAAAGAAUUUAAGGAAGCAUACCCGGGUGGGCCUAAGAGCAGCCAUCCCCUUAAAAAGCGUUAAAGCUUAAGUAUAGUAGCCCCAAUAAUACCGAAAACCCCAUCUAAGACCCCUCCAUUUAUUAAGCCCUUCUAUGCACCCAUAGAAGAGAUACUGCUAACAUUAGUAAUAAGAAAGCCCCGGCUUUCUCCUUGCAGAACUGUAAAUCAGAACGGACCACCCACUGAAUACUAACGCACCCAAUAACAGAGGGAAUUGGGCAACAUCAACAAAAACUUGAAAUAUACCCAAUCACUUAGCGUUAACCCCACACAGGCCUGCUUCUAGGAAAGACAAAAAGAGAAAGAAGGAACUCGGCAAACACUGGCCUCGCCUGUUUACCAAAAACACCGCCUCUUGCUACAACAAUAUAAGAGGUCCCGCCUGCCCUGUGACAAAAGUUUAACGGCCGCGGUAUUUUGACCGUGCGAAGGUAGCGUAAUCACUUGUCUUUUAAAUAGAGACCUGUAUGAAUGGCAUAACGAGGGCUAAGCUGUCUCCUUUCUCCCGUCAAUGAAAUUGAUCUGCCCGUGCAGAAGCGGGCAUAAAUACAUAAGACGAGAAGACCCUAUGGAGCUUUAGACACCAAGACAGUCCGCGUUAAGAACCCCCAGCCAAAGGGAACAAACCAGACGAACCCUGCUUUUUUGUCUUUGGUUGGGGCGACCGCGGAGAAAAACCAAACCCCCGCGUGGAAUGGGACCUUCCCUUAAAACAAGGCCCACAGGCCUAAGAUCCAGAAAAUCUGACCAUAGAGAUCCGGCAAUGCCGAUCAACGGACCCAGUUACCCUAGGGAUAACAGCGCAAUCCCCUUUUAGAGCUCACAUCGACAAGGGGGUUUACGACCUCGAUGUUGGAUCAGGACCUCCUAAUGGUGCAGCCGCUAUUAAGGGUUCGUUUGUUCAACGAUUAAAGUCCUACGUGAUCUGAGUUCAGACCGGAGAAAUCCAGGUCAGUUUCUAUCUAUGAUAGCGCUCUUUUCUAGUACGAAAGGACCGAGAAGAGGAGGCCCAUGCUUAAAGUACACCUCUCCCCUACCUAGUGACCACCACUAAAAAAGGUAAGGGGGCGCGCCCCUUCCACCCCGAGAAGAGGG
rnacentral:rRNA from 1 species